rnacentral:rRNA from 1 species
GCCUAACACAUGCAAGUCGAGCGGAUGACGGGAGCUUGCUCCCUGAUUUAGCGGCGGACGGGUGAGUAAUGCCUAGGAAUCUGCCUGGUAGUGGGGGAUAACGUUCCGAAAGGAACGCUAAUACCGCGUACGUCCUACGGGAGAAAGCAGGGGACCUUCGGGCCUUGCGCUAUCAGAUGAGCCUAGGUCGGAUUAGCUAGUUGGUGAGGUAAUGGCUCACCAAGGCGACGAUCCGUAACUGGUCUGAGAGGAUGAUCAGUCACACUGGAACUGAGACACGGUCCAGACUCCUACGGGAGGCAGCAGUGGGGAAUAUUGGACAAUGGGCGAAAGCCUGAUCCAGCCAUGCCGCGUGUGUGAAGAAGGUCUUCGGAUUGUAAAGCACUUUAAGUUGGGAGGAAGAGCAUUAACCUAAUACGUUAGUGUUUUGACGUUACCGACAGAAUAAGCACCGGCUAACUUCGUGCCAGCAGCCGCGGUAAUACGAAGGGUGCAAGCGUUAAUCGGAAUUACUGGGCGUAAAGCGCGCGUAGGUGGUUCGUUAAGUUGGAUGUGAAAGCCCCGGGCUCAACCUGGGAACUGCAUCCAAAACUGGCGAGCUAGAGUACGGUAGAGGGUGGUGGAAUUUCCUGUGUAGCGGUGAAAUGCGUAGAUAUAGGAAGGAACACCAGUGGCGAAGGCGACCACCUGGACUGAUACUGACACUGAGGUGCGAAAGCGUGGGGAGCAAACAGGAUUAGAUACCCUGGUAGUCCACGCCGUAAACGAUGUCAACUAGCCGUUGGAAUCCUUGAGAUUUU